rnacentral:snRNA from 10 species
GGAUGUGAGGGCAAUCUGGCUGUGACAUCUGUCACCCCAUUGAUCACCAGGGUUGAUUCAGCUGAUCUGGCUGGCUAGAUGGGUGUCCUCUUCCUCCCUCAAUGCUCCAUGUGCAUCCCUCCUGAAGCUGCGUGCUCGGUUGAAGAGGAUAACCAUCUCUGACAGAGGAUGACUGGUCUUUAGUCAAGGGUAUAUGAGUAGCUGCACUACCCUACCAGAACCUCUAAACAAGCUCUCAAGAUAAUGGUCAACAAUAGAGGGUUGCAAAGUUUGAUAUAUUUGGUAUGUUCUUAGCAUGUGAUC